UACGUAGGGGGCAAGCGUUGUCCGGAAUCACUGGGCGUAAAGGGCGCGUAGGCGGCUGUUUAAGUCGGAGGUGAAAGCCCGUGGCUCAACCACGGAAUGGCCUUCGAUACUGGACGGCUUGAGACCGGAAGAGGACGGCGGAACUGCGAGUGUAGAGGUGAAAUUCGUAGAUAUUCGCAAGAACACCAGUGGCGAAGGCGGCUGUCUGGUCCGGUUCUGACGCUGAGGCGCGAAAGCUAGGGGAGCGAACAGG
rnacentral:rRNA from 1 species